GCAUCCGUCACGGGAGAAUCGGCCUUGCCGAUGCCGAAGGAGCAACCGCCCCGGAAACUCUCAGGCCGCAGGACCGCGACGGGACC
rnacentral:ncRNA from 2 species